rnacentral:rRNA from 1 species
AACGAACGCUGGCGGCAUGCCUAACACAUGCAAGUCGAACGAGACCUUCGGGUCUAGUGGCGCACGGGUGCGUAACGCGUGGGAAUCUGCCCUUGGGUUCGGAAUAACAGUUAGAAAUGACUGCUAAUACCGGAUAAUGUCUUCGGACCAAAGAUUUAUCGCCCAGGGAUGAGCCCGCGUAGGAUUAGCUAGUUGGUGAGGUAAAGGCUCACCAAGGCGACGAUCCUUAGCUGGUCUGAGAGGAUGAUCAGCCACACUGGGACUGAGACACGGCCCAGACUCCUACGGGAGGCAGCAGUGGGGAAUAUUGGACAAUGGGCGAAAGCCUGAUCCAGCAAUGCCGCGUGAGUGAUGAAGGCCCUAGGGUUGUAAAGCUCUUUUACCCGGGAUGAUAAUGACAGUACCGGGAGAAUAAGCCCCGGCUAACUCCGUGCCAGCAGCCGCGGUAAU